AAAGAUAUCUAGAUUAGUGGCUGGUGCAUCUCGUAUGUUGGGACGUAUAUCAACUAAUCCAUCACAUGCAGAUAUUGUUUAUUCUUAUGGUGGUAUAGCUACAUUAUGUACAGCUUUAUCUUAUUUUCCAAACGAUACUGAUUGUGCUAGUGCUAUAUGUAAUGCUUUAGUACCAUUUGUAUCUCGCACUACUUUUGUUGAAGAAAUAAAUAAUUAUUCAUUAUUUCCAACUUUAUUACCUAUUUUAUAUACCUCUGUUGAAUCGAUUGAAUUAGCUAAGGCUAGUAUGGCUUGUGUCGCAGCUGCAUCUGCAAUAAAUGAAUAUCAUGAACCUAUGGUUACUAAUCAGGCAAUCGAAAUAUUAUCUACAUGUAUACAGUACCACAUAACAGAAACCAAAUAUUUGUUUAAUUGUUUUACUACAUAUUUUAUGUUAGCUGAAUAUAUUACAACUAUACAACCGAUACAUGAGUAUGGUGGUAUUCAGGGUAUUACUGCAGCAUUAUCAGUUAGUGGUGUUGAUUUUGAGAUAUCGGAGAUUGGUUUAAAAUUGAUUAAUAAAAUGUUAACUGCUCAAGAUGCGUUAACAUAUUUAAGUAAUCAAGAAGUAGUAGAUGCAGUUUUAACAGUGAUGUUAGAAAAUGAAGAUAAAGAAGUUAUAGUAAAAGAAGGAAUAAAAAUUUUAGAAAAAUUGGCUACACAAACAGAUUGUAAAAGACAUAUAUCUAACUUAGAAUCUGUUAUAAAUUCAGCUAAACAAAAUCCUGAAUCUGCUUAUAAAACAUUAGCAGCUAUAGCUGGUUUAUCUAAAAUUAAUUCUUUAAAAGAUAUUUUAAGAAAUGUUGGAGCAGAAACUAGUAUUUGUAAUGGUAUAAAACAAUGGAUUGAAUCUGCUAGAUUUAAUGAUCAAUCGAAAUUAAUUAAAGCUGGUUUGAAAACUAUUAAAAUAUUGAAAGUAAAUUCGUCCACUAGUAUUCACGAGAUAAUAGUUGUUAUAGUAGAUAUUAUGUGUAUGCCACAAGUAAAAAGAUUAGCAGAAAAUGAAGAACCAGAUGAUAAUAUAUUGAUUGCGUCGGCAGAAUGUAUAAAUCAUUUAACUGGAGCAAAUAAAUUAGAAACUCAAGAAGAAGUAGAAGCUGCUUUAGAUGCAAUAUUUAAAUUAAUGAAAAAAUAUACAGAAUCGCGUUUAACUCAGACUAACUUAUUAUCUGCUAUUAAUAAUAUAUUAUUAAGUAGUAGUGGAUUAUGUGUCGAUAUUUUAGUUAAUAAAGGAUAUGUUAAAUCGAUAGUUUCUUAUAUUGGUAAAGUUCCUAUGUAUGCAGAUGUUCAAAUUAUUGGUUUUACUGUGUUAGCUAAUUUGUACAAAAUUAAUAAUAAUACAUUAGAUAUAAUUAAAAAAGCAAAUACAUUAUCUCCAUUACAAAAUGCUUUAAGAACACAUGCAAAAAACAUUAAAUUAAAAACGACAUGUGCUCCGUUACUAGCUGUGUUAAUGCCAUUAGAUUCGUUAACAAAAGAGAUUGAAGAGUUGAUUAUAGAAUGUAAUACAGCUAUUAAUAAAAAGGAUAUUGUAAAAUUACAUACAUGUUUACAAUCAUUUAAUGAGUUAAUUAUGACACCAGAAGCUAGUAAGAUAGCUGCACGAUGUAAUAUAGGUGAUACUAUUUUAAACAUAAUGCGAUUUUUAGAAGCAAAUGAUAACUAUUAUUUAACUGCAGAUAGUAAAGAUUAUAGUUUAAGUGGUCGAAAUUUAUAUGAUUCGACAAUAGCUGAAGUUGCAAGUUUAUGUAGUAAUACUGGUCAAACUAGAAUUGGAUUAGUUAAUUUAACCAAGUGUGAUGUGGUUCAAGCAUUGAUAGCUUUAUAUGAUCAUAUUAAGAUACCAGGUGAUAGUUAUUCAGAAGAAGCAGUUGCAAAGGUAUUAGAAGCAAUACGUUUGUUAUUAAAACAUGAUAUUAAUAAUGUAGAUGUAGCAUUUAAAUUAGGUUUAAUAAAUAAAUUAUGUCAUGGCUUAAAUCAUUUUUCUGAGUCAGAUGAAGUUAUUAAAAGUACGUUUGGUUGUUUGGGUUGUAUUUGUGUAAGUGAAAAACGGUUACAACAGUUAAUAAAUAAUUCAGAUUAUGAUAAUCUUAUAUCUUUAAUAGUACAAUUAAUUGGUAAUUCAGAAAAAUCGAAAGCAUCAAGACAUAAUGCUGUGAACGCAUUAAACGAGUUACUUCGUACGCAUAAUGAAAUUAUUAUUCAACACUUGGCUACAAGAACAACUAUUGUUGAUAAUUUAACUAAACUUAUGUCUGAAUAUGAAAAUGAUACAGAGUUAGUGAAGGAUAGUGCUGAAGCAUUAGCAAUAAUUGCAGAACAUGUAAAUUUAGAAGAACAUAUGUCAAUAGAUAAACAUCAUCUUAUUAAAGUAUUAUGUGAAUGUUUAAAUAAACAAAAAAAUGAUGCAGAAAGUGCAUUAAAUUUAAUGAAAGUUUUGGUUAUACUUUGUAACAAUGAUGAUAAAUUAAAAUUAAAAGAAUUAGGUGCUAUUGAUGUAGUUGCAGAUGUAACAAUGAUUCAUAAUGAAAAUGAAGAAAUUGCUAGACUUGGUGGUAUAUUAUUUGGUUAUAUGGGUGCAGAUGAACAAGUAAAAAAAUUAAUGAAAUUGAUAUUAACUGUGAAUUCUAGUGAUGGUGAUGCUUUACAAAAAAUAGAUUUAUUUACAGGUAAGUUAGAAUUAUUUUUAAGAGCUCCACUAGAUAAUCCGCUAGAUGCUUUACAAUAUACAGAAGCUACAUUACAAAAACUGAACGAACAUUUAGCUAGUGGGUUAGAUAAUGUUUCACUUAUGACAAAUAUAGCUUUAGUAACAAAAAGGUUAGUGGAUAGAUCUAAAAACGAUAGUGAAGAUCAGUUAGGAGCUUGGGCAGUUGCAUCAGCAGGUUUGUUAAAUCAGUAUAUGGAUAUUAUUUCAAAUAAUAUAGGUACAUCCAAUCCAAAUUUUGUUGCUCCUUUAUAUAGUGUCUUAUCUGGUUGUGUCAUAAAUCCAUAUACAAAAUCAAUGGUAAUAGAAAAAUUACCAAAUUUAUUAGAGAAUACUGUUACAUUGUUAGAUACAUAUAAAAAUAAACCAGCUGCUUUAAUAGGAAUAUUAGAAUUUUUGGAGAGUAUAGCUAAAGAUGAAGAAGGAGCUAAGAUAUUAGCUGGAUAUGCUAGUGGACCAUAUGGUUCACUUGUAGAAUCAACAUUACGUGCUAUGAAUAUAAAUAAGGGUAAUGAUGCUGUUUAUAUUGGUGGAACAAGACUAUUAAGUGCAUUAGCUGAAACAUCUGGUACAUCUGGUUUUGAUAGUAUACUGGAUCCACUUCGUAUUAUUGAGAGUUGUGAAAUAUUAAUCAAUUCCGGUUCUAGUAAUGACAGAACACUUGAGUUUAUUAAACUUGUAGAUUCAAUGGUGUUAGCUAAUUUAUUAGAUGAAAAAUUAGCUUCUGAUACUUUAAAAAAAAUAAAUAAAUUAAUUACGGAGGAAAAUCUUGCAGAAUAUUCAGAACAAGACAGAGCUGCUAUAUUAACUGCAUAUGCUAAUUUACUAAAAGAUUCAGCAGCUACUGGUUUAUUUACUCAUAUACGUAACAUAGAUAAAGAUGAGUCAUUAAAUAAUUUGGCAAGAAUAGUUGAAUAUGAGACUAAUGAUGAAGUAAAAGUAGCUGCAUUAGAAGCGUUAAGUGAAAUAAGUACAAACGAUUUAAGUACAGGACUUCGAGUGUUAAAUGUAGCAUUACCUUCGUUAUUGCAAACUAGUUAUGAUGAUAUAGUUACUGAUACAAACAAAGCAGAAGCAUUUUUACAAAUAUUAGAGAAUUUAUUACUUAAUUCUGGUAUGGGAAGACAAAUGGAUAAUUAUGAAGAUAUAGAACGUAUAUUACAAGAUUUAGAAAUAAGUUUAGAAAAAAGAAAAAAUAAAUUAGGAGAAGAUUAUGUAGCAAAUAUGAAAAUUAGAAUUCAAAACAUUCGAAAAGCAAUACAGGAUGAUAAACCAAAAGAAAAAUUAUGUGAAGAUGUAUAUAACAAAUUAAAAGAAUAUGUAACUAAUGGAAUGUCUUUAAAUAUAACACAAGAUCCAACAUUAGCAGAAGAUAUGAUUUUUGUUUUGGAAAGGCUGAGAAUAUAUAAUAAAGAUAAUUUAUUACCUACUACACCAGAAGGAAUUGAUAAUUCAUAUGGUUAUUUAUGUAUAGAAAGUUUUUGUGACGAAGAUGAUAAUAUUACAGAAUUAAUUAAGCAAAAUUUUCAUGUUAGUGCAUUUUUUAAUUUGGUAAAACAAAAUAAUGAGCAAAUAAAACACCAUUCUUGUCGUGCUAUAUGUGCAUUUACAAAAAAAGAAGAGGGUUUAAAAAAUACAGUAAAAGAUAUUACUGAUUUAACCAAUAUUAUUAGUAAAUCGUUAGGUGAAUUAACAGAAGAAAAAACAUUAGAUAAGAAAGAAAAAGAAGAAUAUUUAAUUAGUCGUGUUUUGUUAGUAGAUAGAACAGCAUAUAAUAGAAAUACAUAUGACAGAACAAAUAUUGCACAACAUUUAAUUAAGAUAUGGGAUCAGUAUGAUACAGGUAUAUAUAGUAUAUUAUUAUUACGUCAUGUAUUUCGUGCUUUACGUAAAAUUGUUUCUGAUUAUCACGUACAAAGUUUAUUAAAAGCGAAUGUGUUAGUACGAUCAAUAGAUAUUAUUAAUAAUACAAACACAGAUAAAAUUAUAUAUCCAGAUGUAUUAUUUUUAAUUGGUAGUUUAUCUAUUAUGAAUGAAAUAAAAAUACAAUUAGGAGAAUUAAAAGCAAUAGAAGCAUGUGUGAAUUUAUUGAAUAGAUCUAUAGGUGUAAAAGAAAUGGAACCUACAAUUACAAAUUGUUGUUUAGCAUUAGCAAAUAUAUGUAUAGACAAUAAACGUAAUUCUUCUAUAUUUAAUAGUUUAAAUGGACCAGAAUUGAAUGUACAGAUAUUACGAGAUUAUAAAUUAAAUUUUGAUGUAACAAAUGGUGCUUCAGUGUUACUUUGUAAUAUAUUAUUUCGUAAUGAAGAAAUGAAAAAAAAAUAUGGAAAAACGGAUGCACCUCGUGAAUUAGUAGAGUGUUUAAAAAGUUAUGAUGGUAGUGAUAAUAAGUCAGCUGUUCGAUGUAUGGA
rnacentral:lncRNA from 1 species